rnacentral:rRNA from 1 species
UACGGAGGAUGCAAGCGUUAUCCGGAAUGAUUGGGCGUAAAGCGUCCGCAGGUGGCUGUGUAAGUCUGCUGUUAAAGAGUCUAGCUCAACUAGAUAAAAGCAGUGGAAACUACACGGCUAGAGUACGUUCGGGGCAGAGGGAAUUCCUGGUGUAGCGGUGAAAUGCGUAGAGAUCAGGAAGAACACCAGUGGCGAAGGCGCUCUGCUAGGCCGUAACUGACACUGAGGGACGAAAGCAUGGGGAGCGAACAGG